UACGUAGGGAGCAAGCGUUGUCCGGAAUCAUUGGGCGUAAAGCGCGCGUAGGCGGCCUCAUAAGUCCGUUGUGAAAGUCAAAGGCUCAACCUUUGAAAGCCGAUGGAUACUGUGAGGCUAGAGUCCGGAAGAGGCGAGUGGAAUUCCUGGUGUAGCGGUGGAAUGCGCAGAUAUCAGGAGGAAUACCCAUAGCGAAGGCAGCUCGCUGGGACGUUACUGACGCUGAGGCGCGAAAGCGUGGGGAGCGAACAGG
rnacentral:rRNA from 1 species